GACAGGGUUUCCAAGGGCCCUCCCUUUGUGACACGUGGUGACAUAGGAGCUGGCGGUGACAAGAGCACGCCACAGUGCUUGGUGCACGCAUCAGGACAGGACAGAACCGAGUAGUGCUGUGAGGAGCCCCCCCACAGCGUGCUCAUUUGUGUCUGACCCAGCAAUUUUCCAAGGCGUUAUUCCUGCAGCUGACCUCGCGGCCAGACUGUGGGACUUGGUGAUCAGAAUCAUUUACGAGGAGUCUCCUGUCAUUGUGGCAGGAGCCCUCCAGACCAGAGUGCAGGACUUGCUGUCCUGCAGCCUUCCUGAGGCUCCUCUGUCUCAGGUGUCUUCAAGGGUCAACUGCAAUUGUUGACUUGGAUAUAUCCUGAGGCAUCUCUCUAGAAGGUGCCUUCAAGGCUAGCUGGUGGAAUGGCGGGCAGAUUUCUCAGCCUGUGCAAAGUGUUCAGGAGGGGAAAAAAGAAAGGCCCUGGAGUUGCCCCAGCACAACAGCCUGAAGAGCCAGAGCAGAUCCAGACACUGCAGGAUGAUGCAGCCCUGGGCCGGACACAAGAGCGGGAACCCGCCCGUGGCCGCUUCCGCAGAACCCUGAAGAUGUUCCGGAGGUUCCUGCACAU